rfam:Aedes albopictus isolate Foshan contig58898, whole genome shotgun sequence.
CGUUCUGUGGCUUAGUUGUUUAAAGCGCCGGUCUAGCGAAUUCGUGGGUUCAAAUCCCACCAGAACGC